AGGACGAACGCUGGCGGCGUGCUUAACACAUGCAAGUCGAGCGGAAAGGCCCUUCGGGGUACUCGAGCGGCGAACGGGUGAGUAACACGUGAGCAACCUGCCCUUAGCUUCGGGAUAGCUCCGGGAAACCGGAAUUAAUACCGAAUAUGACUUUGGCUGACAUCAGCAGAAGUGGAAAGUUUUUCGGCUAGGGAUGGACUCGCGGCCUAUCAGCUAGUUGGUGAGGUAACGGCCCACCAAGGCGACGACGGGUAGCCGGCCUGAGAGGGCGACCGGCCACACUGGGACUGAGACACGGCCCAGACUCCUACGGGAGGCAGCAGUGGGGAAUAUUGCGCAAUGGGCGAAAGCCUGACGCAGCGACGCCGCGUGGGGAUGAAUGCCUUCGGGUUGUAACCCCUUUCAGCAGGGACGAAGCGAAAGUGACGGUACCUGCAGAAGAAGCGCCGGCUAACUACGCGCCAGCAGCCGC
rnacentral:rRNA from 1 species